UGCAGGAGGGCAGCAGCCUCGACGCGGCGAUCACGUCGCUCCUUAGCGUGGAGAUGUAGUGCCACCUGGCCGGCAGAAGGAAGUCCGCCGAUCGUCAAGAUCUGCUUCAAGGACGGCGCCUGGAAGAAGCUCAAUGACCAGAUCAUCGUCCUCUCCAAGAGGAGGGGUCAGUUCAAGCAGGUUGGUCCGCUGUCUACAGGUGCUCGUUAUUCUGGCCAGUUUGUCGUGCUCUAUCUUCGACCACCUCUUUGCAGUAACUUUUUCCCGCCUUGCUGGAGGAGAUGAAGCACAUGGCAAAGCAGGAGUUCAUU